rnacentral:rRNA from 1 species
UACGUAGGGUGCGAGCGUUGUCCGGAAUUAUUGGGCGUAAAGAGCUCGUAGGCGGUUUGUUGCGUCUAUCGUGAAAACCUGCAGCUUAACUGUGGGCUUGCGGUGGAUACGGGCAGACUUGAGUUCGGUAGGGGAGACUGGAAUUCCGGGUGUAGCGGUGGAAUGCGUAGAGAUCCGGAAGAACACCGGAGGCGAAGGCGGCUUGCUGGGCGUGAUCUGACGCUGAGGCGCGAAAGCGUGGGGAGCGAACAGG